rnacentral:lncRNA from 1 species
GAUCAAUUGUAUACAUCUGGACUGGGAGUGAUAACGUUGUGAAGUGGACGGAGUCAUCGUUGGGUGAGUGCUGGCUCUAUUUGCACUAAGAGUGGGUGUGCCGUGUCUGAAGUGGUGUGUUUGCACAAUAAAUCGUUUGAAGUGAAGUUACAGAGUGUGGGGAAGAUAUAUAGAGUUAAUGCCGGACGCUCACCACCCCGAGAGCCCACCACCGUCACCGUAAUCCACACCCAGGCACUCAACUGAAGUAUCCCCCAGCCGUAAGCCCCAUUGCUUAUUCAAGAACACAUACAUGCUGUUGAUUACUUACCCCGCUGUGUAGAUCGCAGGAUCCUCUGGGCCGAACACCGCAUGUGAUGUCCCUAUGAAAGGAGGUGGACACAAGAAUUAUUCCUUUCCCGGUCUUAACCGAAGCAUCUCCCAGCCGUAAGCCCCACUACUUAUUCAAGAACACAUACUUACUGUUGAUUACUUACUCUGCUGUGCAGAUCGCAGGAUCCUUUGGGCCGAACGCCGCAUGUGAUGUCCCUAUGAAAAGAGAUCGCAGGAUCCUUUGGGCCGAACGCCGCAUGUGAUGUCCCUAUGAAAAGAGGUGGACACACGAAUUAUUCCUUUCCCGGUCUUAACCGAAGCAUCUCCCAGCCGUAAGCCCCACUACUUAUUCAAGAAACACAUACUUGUUGUGAUUACUUACUCUGCUGUGCAGAUCGCAGGGAUCCUCUGGGCCGAAUGC